rnacentral:rRNA from 1 species
UACGGGGGGGGCAAGCGUUGUUCGGAAUUACUGGGCGUAAAGGGCUCGUAGGCGGCCAACUAAGUCGGAUGUGAAAUCCCCAGGCUCAACUUGGGAACUGCAUCCGAUACUGGAUGGCUUGAAUUCGGGAGAGGGAUGCAGAAUUCCAGGUGUAGCGGUGAAAUGCGUAGAUAUCUGGAGGAACACCGGUGGCGAAGGCGGCAUCCUGGACCGGCAUUGACGCUAAAGCGCGAAAGCCAGGGGAGCAAACGGG